rnacentral:rRNA from 1 species
GCUGACGACAGCCGCAGAAACCAGGCCGCUGCAACUGUUUAUUAAAAACAUAGCACUCUGCAAACACGAAAGUGGACGUAUAGGGUGUGAUGCCUGCCCGGUGCUGGAAGGUUAAUUGAUGGGGUUAGCGUAAGCGAAGCUCUUGAUCGAAGCCCCAGUAAACGGCGGCCGUAACUAUAACGGUCCUAAGGUAGCGAAAUUCCUUGUCGGGUAAGUUCCGACCUGCACGAAUGGCAUAAUGAUGGCGGCGCUGUCUCCAGCAGAGGCUCAGUGAAAUCGAAAUCGCUGUGAAGAUGCAGUGUACCCGCGGCUAGACGGAAAGACCCCGUGAACCUUUACUGCAGCUUGACACUGAACUUUGACCUUACUUGUGUAGGAUAGGUGGGAGGCUUUGAAGCUGGAACGCUAGUUCCAGUGGAGCCGUCCUUGAAAUACCACCCUGGUAAUGUUGAGGUUCUAACUCUGUCCCGUGAUCCGGGACGAGGACCGUGUCUGGUGGGUAGUUUGACUGGGGCGGUCUCCUCCUAAAGAGUAACGGAGGAGUACGAAGGUGCGCUCAGCGUGGUCGGAAAUCACGCGUAGAGUAUAAAGGCAAAAGCGCGCUUAACUGCGAGACCCACAAGUCGAGCAGGUACGAAAGUAGGUCUUAGUGAUCCGGUGGUUCUGUAUGGAAGGGCCAUCGCUCAACGGAUAAAAGGUACUCUGGGGAUAACAGGCUGAUACCGCCCAAGAGUUCAUAUCGACGGCGGUGUUUGGCACCUCGAUGUCGGCUCAUCUCAUCCUGGGGCUGAAGCAGGUCCCAAGGGUAUGGCUGUUCGCCAUUUAAAGAGGUACGCGAGCUGGGUUUAGAACGUCGUGAGACAGUUCGGUCCCUAUCUACCGUGGGCGCUGGAAAUUUGAGAGGAUCUGCUCCUAGUACGAGAGGACCAGAGUGGACGAACCUCUGGUGUACCGGUUGUGACGCCAGUCGCAUCGCCGGGUAGCUAUGUUCGGAAGGGAUAACCGCUGAAAGCAUCUAAGCGGGAAGCCUACCUCAAGAUAAGAUUUCCCUAGGACUUUAUGUCCUCUAAAGAGCCGUUCGAGACUAGGACGUUGAUAGGUUGGAUGUGGAAGCAUAGUGAUAUGUGAAGCUGACCAAUACUAAUUGCUCGUGAGGCUUGACUAU